rnacentral:rRNA from 1 species
UAUGAUCUGAAGUCAGGUGGGAUUACCCGCUGAACUUAA